rnacentral:rRNA from 1 species
AAUGUCAUCAAAUCAUGUUAAACGUACAAGUCCUCGUCCGAUCAAUUAAGUUAAACGAUAUUGGACACAGUUUAGUACUUAAAUGGGUGAUCUUUUGGAAACAUCGUGUACUGUUGGUA